UGGCUGAGCGAAGGGUGGGGGCUGCGCAUGCUCAUCUACAGAAGCGCCGCUUGGCCUUUGGACUAACCUAUCUGUCGCGGUAACGGGCCGGCGUCGCCGCCAGGGGACGCUGGGGCAGCAGGGUGGUCGCUGGGUGGUGAGCUGGCGCCGAGGACGCCGAGCGACUGCGGGGCUUCUGUCAGCGUCCUGCUAUGCGGCUGCCCGCCUCGCUCCCUCGUAGUGUCCGUGGACGCGCAGGCCUUGAAGAACCUCCUCGCGGCGGGCCCCCGAGGUAACUUCUGAGGCAGAUAAUGGCGCCUGGACUGCGGUGGCGCUUGCCCUGCCGCCUGGCGGCUUUCUGCAGGGCCAGGGUAUACUUGUUUUUCUGUAAACCAACUCUUCCUUAGUGCAGGAGAGGUGUCAAAGCGCCGGCGCGUCUCCAGAGCCCCGGGAGGAAGGCUGUAACGGCAGCCCCGUCGUAGACAGGGACAUUCGCAUCCCGAGCCCUGGAUCUCUGAAAAGCAGACCAGAAUUUGGAAGCUGGAAGGAACCUUAGAUCGUCCAUUCUGGGUGUCUCUCUUCGCUGGCGUUUUCCCACGAGAGGAACCUACAAGUGUCAAGGAAAAAAGGACAGCUAACCACAGGGCAGGCCACGGGCAAGAUAUCUCAGUGUUCUCCGCUCUCAGGUCAGGUCAUGAUCCCCAGGGGACCUGGAGGACUGAAUGAUGCUGCCCCCGAGGAGGCUGCUGUCUUGUCUUAGGAGGGAGAGCAGGUGAAGUCCCUAUGGGAGGAAGCACCUAGCCCCAUUUCUGCUGAGCAAGAAGAGGUGGCAGGGACCCCAGACUGGGAGGUAAGGACAGCCCGGGGCUUCAACUGGAAUGUCUCCAGCAUGGGUCCGACUGAGCAGCCACGGAGCACUGCAGAGUGGGAGGCAGCAGGGCAGGGAGGCAGUACUGGAGGCUGGCUCAACCUGAAGACCAGCAGGCCAAGCUGUGUCCCAGGGGAGUGAAGACAUCUGUGCAGAGCUGAGAGGCAGCAGCCAUGUGUGAACAGACUGGGCCUCAUCCUGGCCCCACCGACUUCUUGCAGACAGAGCCUGUUUCCCUGUCUGUGUAACACAGAACCUGCCUGAUCUCACUGCUGGGUUCCUCUUCCUCCUGCCAGGAAAAUAAAAAGGUUCAAAAGGAAAUUGCUGGGUAUCCAUCUGAGGCCUCUGAGGACAGCAAAGAGCAUAAGGCCCUGGGACUGGUUCCCCGUGCUCAUGACAGAGCUCUGCCUGGACUGGCUCUCAGCUUCCAACACCCUCAAGACUCAGAACUGUGAAGAAAAAGUUUCCAAUAAUUCCAAGAGUUGUUGCUGCUGCUAUAGGCCCUGCUGCUGCCUUUUGGGGCCUCCGUCUUCAGAGAAACCCAGUGUGGCUUCAUCCACAUUCCCUGUCCCCACAGCUGCAGGAACAGCACUUCCUGCCACCGAGCCACGUCACCACAAUGGAUUGUCUCUGGAAGGGACAAGGGGGCCCUGGCCGGCCUUCCGACUGACUCGGUGCCAGGGGAUGGACCAACGUCCCUCUUGUGCUGACAGCCGGGCUGCACCCUGGCAAGAGGGCAUUUACAGAAAUGCUGGCGGGAACCGCUGCCAGGGAUGCUGUAGGGUCCUCUGGCAAAAGAGGUCUCAGGUGGCUUCUCA